rnacentral:rRNA from 1 species
AUUGAACGCUGGCGGCAGGCCUAACACAUGCAAGUCGAACGAGUGGCGGACGGGUGAGUAAUGUCUGGGAAACUGCCUGAUGGAGGGGGAUAACUACUGGAAACGGUAGCUAAUACCGCAUACCAUCAGAUGUGCCCCGAUGGGAUUAGCUUGUUGGUGGGGUAACGGCUGACCAAGGCUACGAUCACUAGCUGGUCUGCGAGGAUGAACAGCCACACUUGAACUGAGACCCGGUCCAGACUCCUACGGUAGUCAGCAGUGGGGAAUAUUGCACAAUGGGCGCCAGCCUGAUGCACCCAUGCCGCGUGAAUGAAGAAGGCCUUCGGGUUGUAAAGUACUUUCAGCGGGGAGGCGUUACCCGCAGAAGAAGCACCGGCUAACUCCGAGCCAGCAGCCGCGGUAAUAC